AAUGAUCGUUUUGGUUUGGGGUACAAGCCUUCUGCUAAGGAAGGAGCCAUGGCCCCCGCAAAGGACCGAGUGCGGAGCAUACAAGAAGUUUUCCUAAGCACAGGAUUUAUCCAUGGAGAUCAAGUUGGUGCAGUUGAAGAUGACACUGAAGAUGGAGAAGCAUCAAAUCUGAUAUACCGAUGUGAAACGGCCUUAACAAAUUGGGAAGCAGUUGAGAUUCCAGAAGUUUUUCCUGUGUCAAAGUAAUUGUGUUUUCC
rnacentral:lncRNA from 1 species